rnacentral:lncRNA from 1 species
ACUACAGUAAACGAAGAAAGUUCCGACGGUCACGCUAUCUCCGACGGCUUCCUACGAGGCCGUCGGAUAUUAUCUUAUGUCCGACGGCCAACAGGGGCUCUCGGACAUAAAGACUUAUGUCCGACGGCUAGUCACGAGGCCGUCGGACAUAAGCUUAUAUCCGACGGCCGCGUGACUAGCCGUCGGACAUAAGGUUUUUUAACACACGGACCGUCCCGGCGCGGUUCAUUUUCACGCGCGCGCGCUCGCUUCUCGCUUCUCUCUCUCUGCCCGCUCACCGCCGCCUCCGUCGACGCUCGCCGCCGCCGCCGUCGAGGCCCGCCGCCCCGCCGCCCGGCCACCCGCCGCCCCGCCGCCGCCGUCGACGCUCGCCGCCGCCGCCGUCGAGGCCCGCCGCCCCGCCGCCCGGCCACCCGCCGCCCCGCCGCGGCCGUCCGCCGCCCCGCCGCGGCCGCCCGCCGCCCGCCGCCCGCCGCCCCGCCGUCGGCCGCCACGCACAGCCCGCCGUCGACGCCCGCCCCGCCCGCCCGCCGUAAGGUAUUAAUGUAUUAUUAAUAUUUUGUAUAUAUUAAUAUUGUUUUGUAGUUUAUUUUAUUAUAUCCGAGGGCCUAAAUUUAAUUAGUGGUGCUUAGAUAAUUUUAAUUUUUAAUUUCCGACGGUAAUUAUUAUGCCCUCGGAAUUAAGGUCAGUUUAUAUGAUUUGUCACCCGUAAUAAUGUUAUGUAGUGGUGUCUAUAUAAUUUAAACUCUUAAUUUCCGAGGGUAAUUAUUAAGCCCUCGGAAAUAAGGUUGUUUUAUUUGAUUUAGGUUCCCGUGAAAUGAUUUUUUGUAGUGCUAUUGUAUUAGUUUGGUUAAUUAGUGGCUAUUGUAUUAGUGUGGUUAAUUAGUAAUCAUAACUAAUUAAGUUAACGAAACCUAGACGUCACCCGUUUCGGCCCAACACACCUUACAUGCGACGCAUGUGAGGUAUGUUGGGCCGGAAUUGUCCCUUUAUUGGACAGCCUCGGGGUGACCGACAGAGUCCGUGUUUAUGACAAAGGCAUGUGCUCCUGCUUAGUUUCGGCAGCAUAACCCCUGUGUUCUCCAAUUGCACCAUUUUUAGGCGUGCGAUUGGAGAACAGCGGGGUUAUGCUGCCGAAAUUUCGCACGACCACAUGUCUUGUCAUAAAUACGGGCUCGUCGGUCACGCUUGGGUGGGUUUAGGACCUAUCAUUUCCUACAGAUGUAGGGGCGUGAUUUCUUCGUAAAAACGGAUUGUCCGUGCAUUACUUAUCUAAUUAAGUUAACGUCUCGUAUCUAGUAUGGAGGAGAAUCGUCGAUGGAUGUAUGAAGGUUGGAAGAAAAGAGGUGCUCUAUCAAGUGAGUGGGUUGCCAAGACUGAUGCUUUUCUCGACCAUGCUUUUGCUCGGUCAGAGACUGGAACCGAUGUUAGGUGCCCUUGUAGCAAGUGUCGGAACAUUAAUUUCCUUGACAGGAGGACUAUGUCUAUACAUAUUUGCAAGAACGGUUAUAUGCCAGGCUAUGAGGUGUGGGUGCACCACGGUGAGGACCCACCUCCUCGUACUGUAUCGAAAGUUCAGUCACAUGAAGAGGAGGACUACGAUAGGAUGGAAGAGAUGCUUGACGAUGUACGCCAUGAGCUUCUAAUCGUCGAUUCGGAGAACCCCGGUCAACCCACCGAGUUUGAGGAUCCAGCUACACCUGAGGUUCAGAAGUUCUUCGAGCUCCUUAAAGCUGCCGAAGAGCCAUUGCAUGAGCACACAAAAGUGACCGUCCUUGUAUUUGUGACUCGACUUAUGGCUAUUAAGUCUAAGUUUGCAUUCUCAAACAACUGUUACAAGGAACUUUUGAACUUGAUCAGUGAUGUACUUCCGGAGAAUCACAAGAUGCCAAAGGACAUGUAUCAGUCUAAAAAGCUGUUAUCUGGCCUCGGUAUGGACUACGAAAAAAUCGAUGUCUGUGAAAAUAAUUGUAUGCUUUUCUGGAAGGAGACCGCAGGUGAGAAGGAGUGUACUGUAUGUGGUGAGCGUAGAUUCGUUGAGGUUGAAAACGACGAUGGUUUGACCGUGACUACGAAGAUUGCACGUAAGCAGCUUCGUUACAUGCCUCUUAUACCUCGGUUGAAACGUUUGUUCAUCUCCAAGAAUACAGCCAGACACAUGAGGUGGCACAAAGAAGGGGUACGUGAGAAUCGAAAUGUCAUGGUGCACCCAGCUGAUACAGAUGCAUGGAAGGCACUAGAUGCUUUUGAUUCCAGCUUUGCUGAUGAAGUGAGGAAUGUUCGCUUCGGUUUGGCAACAGAUGGUUUCUCGCCAUUCAAUCUAACUGCAACGUCGUACUCAUGUUGGCCCGUCUUUGCUGUUCCAUACAACCUUCCACCAGCUCUUUGCUUGGGACGAGGAGUAGCUCGAGGAGCAGCUCGAGGGGUGAGGAUUCAGUUUUUCAGGGCUCAGGUUCUACCAUGAGCAGACGGAGAGCGCUGGCAGAACAUUUGCCUCCACAAGAUGUAAGUUAGUUGUUAAAUUACAUUAUUUGAGUUACUUAAUAUUGUAUGAUGUACGGUAUUUGUUUCAUAGGAUGCUGAAAUUGAGGAACCAGUGGUAGAGGAUCAUGCAAGAGAUGAUGUUGAAGAUGAUGGUGGAGAUGAUGGUGGAGAUGAUGCUGGAGACGAUGCUGGGGAUUCUGGGGCUGGUGGAGAUUCCGCAGCUGGGUCUGGAACUUCUCGAGUUAGGAGAAUGAGGAAGCUGCAUUUUGUUGGACCACCUCCAGAGCUUCCACCCGAAUCUCGGGUUUUGAUAAAGCCUAGUGGAAAGUGAGUGACAUGUCUUUGCUUAAAUGUUAUUGAAAGUUAUGUUUUAAUUUCCACAUUGUGUAUACUAUUUCCAGGUCUUGGAUCGACGACUCGUUCACAGGCACAGGACACUACAGGCAGGUGAACAUGGUGCUUGGUAAUCUUGUUCGUCUGCACUGGCCUGGUGUUGUGACUUUGCCUACUGGCGAGUCUGUCCCCGCCACCACUUGGGAGCAUUAUCGCUAUGGUGUCUGUAGAACGUUUGGCAACACACAGGCACUAGUUUGGGAUGCAUUCUGGGUAUGAAUUAUUUAUACUAUUUUAGUUAUUCCAUACAUGUUUGCUUUUAUGAUAACACUAAUUUUUUUUGCAGAAACGGUACAAGUUGCCGGACGAUGGAUCAUAUGAUAUGAACGCUCGUUACGUGUUUGAGUAUAACGCGAACGAUGUCGUUGCAGAUGCAAUGUACUAUGCACGAAUUCAGGCUAUAAAGGCAUGGUACAGAGCAAAUGCUGAUGAUCGACCGAUGCCAAAUACCAAGGCCGAGUGGUCAUCAAUUUACUUGACGGAGGAGCAAUACCUAGAGGUAAACAGGUUCUUGCCUCUCAAAUCGCACGAAGCCAUGUAUUUGCUUGCUUUAUUUAAAAAAUUUCAUGUAGGUGUCGGUGCCGUGGAUGGCCACCCGAUCGGAGGGUUAUCGGGCAUUGUGCAGAUGGUGGGCUUCCCCUGAGUUUCGUGCCAUUUCCGAAAGGAACAGGGGAAACCGUGGGACCGAGUCGUUCCACAACUACGGUGGUGAUGGUCAUGUGCGCUUGGCUAAGCGAAUGGUAAGUCACAGUUUGUUGUAACUUUUGAAUUACAUAGAAAUGUGUCAUUGUAACUUUUAUGUACAGGAAGUCAAAUUCGGUCGUACGCCCACGGAUGUGGAGGUGUAUAUGCAAGGGCAUAGGGGUUCUGAUCCUCAGAAUCCUGAUGUGUUAUGCACUCAGACGGCCACCGACCGUCUAGUGAGUUUUUGAUACUCUAUUAUGUGUUUGAUAUUGUUUGCAAUGGCAUAUAUAGGGGUUAUGCACUUAUAUUUGAUAUUGUUUGCCUCCAGGCUUCGUAUGGGGAGGAGAUGGUUCAACGCCAUGGGCAGGAGUACGAUUGGAGGAGCCAGCCAAUCGACCCUCAGGCAGCAUAUGCUAGCGGAGGAGGACAAGCCCACGGACGGUGAGAUUAUUUAAUUUGGAUUACAAAAUUGGCAUCAUAUGCUUGCGAUUCAACUGAGGCAUGAGUUACUAUACUAAGUGCAUGGUUCACUCUUGUAGGUUGGGUAUUUUUGAUUCUACGAUUGAUUCCAGAGAGCUAAGACGCCGUGGACGACAGUCCACAUCGUCGUCUUCACAGUCGUCCCGUUCACGAUCAUCCGCCCACGACAUGGAGAUGGCAGUGUUGCGUCAACAGGCAGAGUACCAUCAAUCAGUCUUGAGGGAACAAUUGGAGUACCAGAGGCAACAAUCUGAGUACCAGAGGCAACAAGCCGAGUACCAGAAGAAGAGGGACGAGUAUUAUGCAAACCUCCAGGCCCAAAAUCAAGCUCUUCUCUCGGUAAGCUGAAGUAACAUUUUGUAGCUUAUUUUGCAAAACACUUGAUGUGUAUCUUAUUAGCUCAACAAUGACUUGUAUAUAAUUUGUAGCAACUAGCCCAACAAGCGGGCGUCCCGAUGCCGACAUAUGGGAUGCCGCCUCCGGAGUUUGCACUGCCAAUGCCAAUGUUGGCGCCUCCACCACCGCCUCCGCCUCCGUCACAAUUCCCUAUGGUAUGUACACAUAUGCGUGUGUGACAUGUUCAUAGAUGUCUUAUGUGUUUAAAUGAACAACUGAGUGGUUACUAUUUCAUGUGCUUGUGUUAUAGGGAUUUCAGACACCACCCGCUUCAGUUGCCGCACCUGGAGAUGGGUCUGGUCAGGACGACCCAACACAUUCGUGGGUGAACAAUCUUUUCAGCACGCAUAGUCCAGCCGGAGGAGGUGGCGAUGGAUAUGAGUGAUACUGAUGUAAAACACUUGUUGAAACCUUUCAUGUGAAAGCCUACCCGUCGAAUAAUGUUCAUUUUGGAGUUUGGACAACUAUGUUUAUGUAAACACUUAUUGCAACCAUUUGGAACUAUGUUGUUAUGUUAAAUUUUGUGAAUGUGAAUGCUUAUGUGAUUAUAUUUGUGAAUGUGUAUACUUAUGUGAGUAUAUUUGUUAAUGUGAAUGUGUAUAUGUGUAUGAAUUCUGUUUUGUAUUUGCAAAUGUCAGAUU